AGUGAACGCUGGCGGUAGGCCUAACACAUGCAAGUCGAACGGCAGCACAGGAGAGCUUGCUCUCUAGGUGGCGAGUGGCGGACGGGUGAGGAAUACAUCGGCAUCUACCUUUUCGUGUGGGAUAACGUAGGGAAACUUACGCUACUGCCGCAUACGACCUUCGGGUGAACGCAGGGGACCUUCCGGCCUUGCGCGGAUAGAUGAGCCGAUGUCGGAUUAGCUAGUUGGCGGGGUAAAGGCCCACCAAGGCGACGAUCCGUAGCUGGUCUGAGAGGAUGAUCAGCCACACUGGAACUGAGACACGGUCCAGACUCCUACGGGAGGCAGCAGUGGGGAAUAUUGGACAAUGGGCGCAAGCCUGAUCCAGCCAUACCGCGUGGGUGAAGAAGGCCUUCGGGUUGUAAAGCCCUUUUGUUGGGAAAGAAAAGCAGCCGGUUAAUACCUGGUUGUUCUGACGGUACCCAAAGAAUAAGCACCGGCUAACUUCGUGCCAGCCGCCGCCGUAAUAC
rnacentral:rRNA from 1 species